GGGCUGCGUGUGCCGGAGCCGGCGGGGGCGGCGGUGCGUGCGCAUGACGCGGGGGGAGGGCCUGGGCCGCGCGCUCCCGGUCCCGUUGUUGUUGCCGCUGGAGGCUGCUCCGAGGCAGCGGGAUCACGGCGCUGGGAAGCGCUCGGCAGCGGCGGCCACAGCGUGCGCGGCGGCGCCUCCUGGCCUCGGCCUCCGGCCCCCGGCCCCCGGCUCCAUGCGCUAGCCCCGCGCCGC
rnacentral:lncRNA from 1 species